rnacentral:rRNA from 1 species
AAUGCUUACCAUCAGGCAAGUGAGAUUGGAUUUACGGUCGAGGUAUGAAGGAUGGAGGACGCCUGAGAUACGCGUAAGGAACUUUGCCUCUGCAUCUAAUACAGUAUAUGAAAAGAUAUUGCAUACCGGAUAUUAUGAAAUUCUCUCAUGCGAGAGAGAGCAAGCUAUACAUUCAAGAGAGAGCCGGCAGUACCACUACAUAGUUGGUGAGGUAAGCCGCCACCAAGGGGACAAUGGAUAGCACGGCGAGAGAGACAGAACCCUCACUCGGGGAGUAGACCGCAGCCCUUACAUCUUACACGAGGCAGCAGUGCGGAAUACAGCCCAAUGGGCCACAAGCAUAAUCCAUCAAUUUUGUAAACCAGAUUCAGGUAUUAGGAUAGUAAAGUACUUUCAGUUGGCAAGAAGAAAGUUACGUUACCAACAGAACACGGGAUGGCUAAAUACCUGCCACCAGCCUCAGUAAUAGGGAUCUAGCAAGAAUUAUCAGGAUUUGGUGGGAAGAAAGCGCGUCUAGGUGGAAAAAUAAGUUGGAAAAUAACAGGCGUGGCUCAUAUCAAGUACAGUGUAAGCAAUCCUUUUUACUAGUAGUACAGGAGAGGGGAGAAUUACAGCAAGAGUAGGAGAUGAAAUGUAGUAGAUCAGUAGGAAGAAUCCGCGAUGAAGAAGUCCCCUCACGCAACAGAUAAUCGACUCUAAAGCGAGAGAGGGGGAGCCCACAAAGGAUAUACUACCCUAGUAGUACACCCCAUAAGCUCCCAAAGGGAGGUGUGGGGGGUCGAACCUCAGCGCCCAAGCUAACGCGAUAAGUGAUCCGCCUGGGGAGUACGCACGCAAGUGUGAAACUCAAAGGAAUUGACGGGGACCCGCACAAGCGGUGGAGCAUGUGGUUUAAUUCGACGCAACGCGAGAAACCUUACCAGCGUUUGACAUCCUAAGAAGUUUCCAGAGAUGGAUUCGUGCCGGCUUGCCGGAACUUAGUGACAGGUGGUGCAUGGCUGUCGUCAGCUCGUGUCGUGAGAUGUUGGGUUAAGUCCCGCAACGAGCGCAACCCCUAUUGUAUGUUGCUACCAUUAAGUUGAGCACUCAUGCGAUACUGCCUGCGAUGAGCAGGAGGAAGGGGGGGAGGACGUCAAGUCAUCAUGCCCGUUAUAGGUUGGGCUACACGCGUGGUUCAAUGUGCUGUACAGAGAGGUGCCAACCCGCGCGGGUGAGCUAAUGUAUUAAA